ensembl:snoRNA
UAUGGGGCUUUUUCUAUAAACCUACAUCAUUGGAAACGCCUCAUAGAGCAACUAUGUGAUUUCCUUUACUCAUAGAAUUACAUGUUAGAGCUGUGAGGAAGAACUACAAGACAGCU